rnacentral:rRNA from 1 species
AACGAACGCUGGCGGCGUGCCUAAGCCAUGCAAGUCGAACGGGUUGUCGCAAGACAAUCAGUGGCGAACUGGUGAGUAAUACGUGGGUAAUCUGCCCGAGAGUGGGGAAUAGCCCUUCCAACGAGGGGGUAACACCGCAUAUUAUCGCGAAUCCGCAUGGAUUUGCGAUGAAAACAGGGGAUCGCAAGACCUUGUGCUCUCGGAUGAACCCGCGCCCCAUUAGCUAGUUGGUGAGGUAACGGCUCACCAAGGCGACGAUGGGUAGCCGGCCUGAGAGGGUGACCGGCCACACUGGGACUGAGAUACGGCCCAGACUCCUACGGGAGGCAGCAGGCGGGAAUAUUGGGCAAUGGACGAAAGUCUGACCCAGCGACGCCGCGUGAACGAAGAAGCCCUUCGGGUGUAAAGUUCUUUAUAUGUGAGCAGUGCUUUCUAUGUGAACAGCAUGGGGAGAGAGAUAUUAGCAUAUGAAUAAGCAACGGCUAACU